ACGGAGGGUGCAAGCGUUAUUCGGAAUUACUGGGCGUAAAGCGCGUGUAGGCGGCCCUGCAAGUCUGAUGUGAAAGCCCCGGGCUUAACCCGGGAAGUGCAUUGGAAACUGCCGGUCUUGAGUACUGGAGAGGAUUGGGGAACUCCCGGUGUAGCGGUGAAAUUCGUAGAGAUCGGGAGGAAGAACAGUGGCGAAGGCGCCCUUCUGGACAAUAUCUGACGUUGAGUCGCGAAAGCGUGGGGAGCAAACAG
rnacentral:rRNA from 1 species